rnacentral:rRNA from 1 species
UACGUAGGGUGCGAGCGUUGUCCGGAAUUAUUGGGCGUAAAGGGCUCGUAGGCGGUUUGUCGCGUCGGGGAGUGAAAACACUGGGCUUAACCGAGUGCUUGCUUUCGAUACGGGCAGACUAGAGGUAUGCAGGGGAGAACGGAAUUCCUGGUGUAGCGGUGAAAUGCGCAGAUAUCAGGAGGAACACCGAUGGCGAAGGCAGGUCUCUGGGCCGUAACUGACGCUGAGGAGCGAAAGCAUGGGGAGCGAACAGG